CUUAUGGGUUGAGCUGCUUCUUACAUUACACUGGAGUGUGCUUUGCGAACUCAUCCAAAUAUUACUAUUAUUGGAGAAAAGGUUGCGGCUAAGAAGCUUACCUUGAAAAACGUUACAGACUACAUUGUCGAUGUAAUUAGUAAACGUUCUGAACUUGGUUAUUAAUUAUGGUGUUGUAGUUAUUCCCGAGGGCCUGAUUGACUUCAUUCCGGAGGUGCAGCAGCUUAUUUCGGAACUCAAUGAAAUUCUUGCCCAUGAUAUUAUAGAUGAGGAUAGAUUAUGGAAAAAGAAAUAUUAUAGAUGAGGAUAGGUUAGUACACCCAACAUAUUGAAGUUGUAACCAUCCAAACAAUCUGACUACAUCGAUUAGACCACCUGAGAAUUCCAACACUGCUUUGGCUCGAAAAUGCUCUCUUUUCUCUCCUCUCUCCCUUUCCCUCCCUCCGGCACCAUAUUCCGACCUAACUCCCCGCCCUCUCCCCAUCUCCGACCAAGCUUUGCCUAUUCCCACCAACGUCAACCCUCAUCUGCAACCCUUGGCUCAUCUAUCUCUCAUGGCCCAUCCAUCGACCCUCCCUUCCAAGCCUAACUUAGCCGUCGAAGUUAUCAACUGUAAGAUUAAGGACAACCACUUCUAUGCCCUCA